CACUGCCACUGAACCAACUUGAGAUCACAGACCGCAGAGUGCUUGAGUAAUAAAUCAGGAGUUUUGGAGCUUCUCCUGCUUUCUGCUGAUACCAGACAAGAUGUUUAGAGCUGCCACUGGUAAUGGAGCUGCUGGCUUUACAGUUCAUGCUGACAGUUUCUCCUGGCCGUGCAGACAGACUUGAGGGAGACUGAGUCAUGAUGAUAUCUCCACAGGACCCUGGAUAGAAGAGAUUACAAGAGAUUAAAUAAAGUACAAUUCAUUUAUUUUUAGAUAUAAAUACAAUUACAGUUUUACUCAGUAGAAUUCACAUAACAGGUGCAAUAAUUUAUUUAUUUCUAGACCUCACCUUCAAUCAUCACAAAGAAGGUCACCAAAAAUCGAAGAGAAAAAUCCAUCUCCACUGUGUCUUAGAGACAGGCUUAACUGACUCGAUCUCAGUGACUCC